GAUGAAGAACGUAGCGAAAUGCGAUAAGUAAUGUGAAUUGCAGAAUUCAGUGAAUCAUCGAAUCUUUGAACGCACAUUGCGCCCAUUAGUAUUCUAGUGGGCAUGCCUGUUCGAGCGUCAUUUCAACCCUUAAGCCUCUGUUGCUUAGCGUUGGGAGCCUACCUACCCGGUAGAUCCUCAAAGUUAGCUGGCAGGGUCGAGGUUCGCCCUAAGCGUAGUAGUUCUUUCUCGCUUCUGCGGCUGCCUAGGCCAUCGCCACAAGCCUUUUAAACUUCAAUGGUUGACCUCGGAUCAGGUAGGAAUACCCGCUGAACUUAAGCAUAUCAAUAAGCGGAGGA
rnacentral:misc_RNA from 1 species